UGAUGGCAAGCUCUCUCUGUGUGUGGUAGAGUUGAGUGGGAAGUGGCAUUCUUCACUUCAGGAUGAAAAGGAGUAGCUGCUAGACUGUGGGUCUCAAAAUUCCAGAUGAGGAGAGAUUUACUGUGGGCAUCAAUAUUCACCUUCAAAACAUUCGCUUACUUAGACAUUCAGUUUAUAAAGAAAAGGCUUUUGUUUUAUUUUUUACCCAGGAGACAAAAGCACGUGACUCUGAAUGGGGUGGAAGAAGCUGAUGAAGUUUGCCAGGAACAAAUAUGAAACAAUCUCUGGAAAAUGGAAUUUGAUUUUGAUUCAACAACAGGAGAAUUCUACUGUUUUUCUCCAGCAGCUCCACGAUAAAAGGGAACCCUGAGCAGAACACAUGCACAAACUCAUGCCAUACCCUAAGGGACAAGGUUCCCCACAUCUACUUGGAAAUCUUCGGGAUGCUCAAUGGAGAAGAACAAGGAGAAAAAAAUCUAAACCCAACAGAAGAGAAAGUUUCAAGAAAGAGGUCGUCGCCAAUACCAAAAUUAGCUAUGAUAUUCAGGAAGAAAAAAAUGGAAACACGAUAAUCACAUUCAAUAAAGACCAAGGCUAGAUUCCAUUGGCCGGAGCUCAGCCACGCGUCCACACCUGGCUAAAGAGAGACUCUGGCUGAAGAAUUCCCUGAAUAUUUUAAUAUAGCUCUGGUUAUAACACAGAACAACCACAAGGUGGCAGAAGAACUCCAUUCUUGUAAAUCUCUUAGUUGCUUCUUUAUUUCAUCUUCCCUAUUCCAUCCAAUGUUCCUUGAAUUUUACUAUUUUGUUGGUUUGAAAAUAUGUGUGACUUACGUACUUUAAAGGAUUUGGUUGCUAAAGUUUUAAAUAGACUGGAAUAUAAAACAUUUAUAGAAAAGAAAAAUACCUACAGUAUGAUGAACUAUUAAUAAUCCAAUUAAAUAAAAUAUAUUUGCUUUGGAUUAAUACAUAUUUUAUUUUGAUGUUUGCUAAAUAAAACUAAGCAUUAGGAGGUCAAAUAGCCACAAUGAACAUUUUCAUAUUAUUUAAUAAGCCAGUUUCAAGGCAUACAUGCUAAAUUUGUUCUUAAGGAAAAGUUGAAUUUUUGCUUUCAUGAAAUUACAAACUCUAAGGCAAUUUUAUACCUGUAAAUCCAAUGUGUUCUGAAGUUUAAAGUGUCAAAGGCUGUUGGAUUUAAACAGAUCUUGUAUGACUCUCUGUUUCAUCUCUUUAGAGGUUGAUAGUAAGCAAGUUUGGCAGCAACUCUCAGCUUCUGCUGUAACAUGAGGCUAGUAAUGACGACUUUAUAAGGUUGUUGCAAAGAGUCAGUGAUGACACAAGCAACGUUCUUUAUAUAUGCAGAAUUUAAAAAAUAAAAAUAAAGUAAAUAAAAAUAUUUCUUUCUCUAGUCCCAAUUUUUCUAACGUUAUUUGCAACUGGUGUUUUAAUGCAAGACAAAAGGCUAAAAUAUACAUGUAGCUAGCAGAAUCAAAACCUAGAUCAGAUGUUCAAAAGCAUCAUGCUGCUAAAAGAUUUCAGAGUCUAAAACCUGUGCUCACUGUUCUGAAACAUCUUUCCACUUCCUGUUAAAAAAAAAAAACCAUGAUAUUCUUUGAAGCUCAUUUUUUGGGCUUCAUGUGUUGUAAUUAUACAUUUGUUAUAUAGGGUAUAUUAUGACUUAUGCUCUAUGGUGUUAUUCAGUACAUUGUAGAAAAAGGAGAAUAAAGAAUGUUGUUUGUCAGUAGGCAGCUCUGUCCUUUUUAUCCUUGACUGUAAUUUACUAAAGAGCUGAUAAAAUUACAGCACAGGCAGCAAUUCACCAUAUUACCCUGCAGACAGCCAAGAGACUGACAUUGAGAUGAUGAGUUUGAACUUGGGUCCAUGUAAGGAACCUGAUGGGGUUAUAUGAAUUCUUUAUUUCUGUUCUAUGAAAAAAUGAAGUUGCUUAUAAGAAGGAGGCACAAAAGUGUGUACUCUGGGCAAGGCUACUGAUAAAGAUGCUACAGGGAUGCGUGGAAACCCAAUAUGUAACACUGAAAUGGCUUUUGAUUCAUUUAUAUGUGGUCUCAGACAAGAAACAUAGAUUAAGAAAAGGUCUGAAAAAAUGGAGCACCAGGGAAAAUGAUAGGAAAUUUUGUAUUGUUGACUAACAGUUAUCUAAUAUGAAAUACACAUUCGUAAUAUUUUGACAUAUAU